rnacentral:rRNA from 1 species
UCGGGAAUUUUGGGCAAUGGGCGAAAGCCUGACCCAGCAACGCCGCGUGAAGGAUGAAGUAUUUCGGUAUGUAAACUUCGUAAGAAUAGGAAGAAUAAAUGACGGUACUAUUUGUAAGGUCCGGCUAACUACGUGCCAGCAGCCGCGGUAAUACGUAGGGACCAAGCGUUGUUCGGAUUUACUGGGCGUAAAGGGCGCGUAGGCGGUUUGUCAAGUCAGUUGUGAAAUCUCCGAGCUUAACUCGGAACGGUCAACUGAUACUGUCAAACUAGAGUACAGAAGGGGCAAUCGGAAUUCUUGGUGUAGCGGUGAAAUGCGUAGAUAUCAAGAGGAACACCUGAGGCGAAGGCGGGUUGCUGGGCUGAUACUGACGCUGAAGCGCGAAAGCUAGGGUAGCAAACAGGAUUAGAUACCCACGUAGUCCCUGAGCGGGCUGGCAAGGCGCAU